UACGUAGGGUGCGAGCGUUGUCCGGAAUUAUUGGGCGUAAAGAGCUCGUAGGCGGCUUGUCGCGUCGGAUGUGAAAGCCCGGGGCUUAACUCCGGGUCUGCAUUCGAUACGGGCAGGCUAGAGUGUGGUAGGGGAGAUCGGAAUUCCUGGUGUAGCGGUGAAAUGCGCAGAUAUCAGGAAGAACACCCGUGGCGAAGGCGGCUCUCUGGGACGGUACUGACGCUGAGACGCGAAAGCGUGGGGAGCGAACAGG
rnacentral:rRNA from 1 species